rnacentral:tRNA from 1 species
CGGGGUGUAGCUCAGCCUGGCAGAGCGCUACGUUCGGGACGUAGAAGUCGGAGGUUCAAAUCCUCUCACCCCGACCA